AUGGACAGCGGAAGCGACUCCGACGGCGCCCCCGAGGAGCUCACCGCCGUCCAGGGUGUGGAGAAACAUGAAGAAAUCAGCAAAGUAGAGAAGGACAGUGCUGUCAGAGCAACCCAGGAGGAGAAAGACCGGAGGAAACGCUGGGCCCAACGGAAAACAUCCUCAAAACCGAAUAAAAAGAAGCCUCUGAAAGUAGAAGAUAAAGAUACAGAAGUGGAUGAGGAGACACAUGCUAUGCCUGGCACACUUCCCAAGAGCGUAAUUGAAAUGCUUGCAGCACGUGAGAAGCAAACCUUCUCAUCAGAUUCUGAGGAAGAAAAUGUAAACCAGAAUGUCCAAAAGAAGAAGAAAAGAUUGAAAACUGCAACUACUGGACCUGAAACAAUUCUGCUGAAAGAUGUUCGGUCAACAGAGCACAUUAAAAAGGCCCUCGAAUUCCUGAGUCGCAGGAAAAACCAGGUGCCAAGAUCCAAUGCAGUUUUGAAGAAUCCUAAUGCUAUGCGUCUCUUUAAUAAACAUAAUUUCACGAGUUGA
rnacentral:rRNA from 1 species